rnacentral:tRNA from 1 species
GAGAGAGGCCCGCCACAGUGAAAACUGCUAAUUUUCACCCCUUUGGUUAAAUUCCAGAGCUCACUCA